rnacentral:rRNA from 1 species
GACGAACGCUGGCGGCGUGCUUAACACAUGCAAGUCGAACGAUGAAAAAGAGAAACGCUACCUUCGCUUCAAAUUUCACUUCGGCUUAUUAGCAGACGGUUGAGUACCGCUUUUGCAUCCUACCUCUUACAAAGGGAUAUCCUCUGGUAACCGUUAUUACUACCAUAUGACACCUUCAUAACUCAUCUUCAUACUGUUAAAGCUACGGCGGUAAGAGAUGGGCUCGCGUCCCAUUAGCUAGUUGGGGAGGUAACGGCCCACCAAGGCGACGAUGGGUAACCGGGAUGAGAGGGAGAACGGUCACAGUGGAACGGAGAAACGGUCCAAAAUACUACGGGAGGAAGCAGUGGGGAAUAUAGCAAAAUGGAGGGAACGAAGAAGGAGCGAGGCCGCGUGAGCGAUGAAGGAAGUAGAGAAGUAAAGCACGGUUCUAUGGGAAGAAAAGGACUGUACCAAAGGAGAAAGCCCCGGCUAAAUACGUG